GAAUUUCCACUCUGUUGUGGAUUUUAUUAUGAAAAAGAAGAACUGUACUUCUGGCGGAUAUGACGUCAGGCAGGAGGCGCUCUCGUGAUGUGUACAGUGUAAUGAUAGUAGUAAGCUGUAACCUUUCACGCGCGCGAGCGUGUGUGUGGAAUUAAAAGUUACCUGGAUAAAUGCUCACAGCUCCAGUUCACCUGUAAGUAAGACUGUGCUCGUGACAGAAACUCCACCAUGAGGCGGAAUAAAGACUCCAACUGUGUGGAAGAGUUGUCCCCCGAUCACAACGGUGUGAUUCAGACCAUCUACAGCUC
ensembl:lncRNA